rnacentral:rRNA from 1 species
GACGAACGCUGGCGGCGUGCUUAACACAUGCAAGUCGAACGGAAAGGCCCUGCGUGUGUGCGGUGCUCGAGGGGCGAACGGGUGAGUAACACGUGAGUAACCUGCCCUACUCUUUCGGGUAGCUUCAGGAAACGGGGGUUAAUACAGUAUAGGAUAUCCUGCAGCAUGGUGGGCAUUGGAUCUUUUCGGCGGGUGGGGAUGGACUGGCGGCUUAUGAGCUUGUUGGUUGGGGAGUGGCUGACCAAGGCUUUGACGGGUCGGCGGCCCGAGAGGGUGGACGGCCACCAGGGGCCUGAGAUAGGGCCCAGACUCCAACGGGAGGCAGCAGUGGGGAACAUGGCCCAAUGGGCGGAAGCCUGAUGAAGCGACGUCGCGGGCGGGAAGACGGCUUGCGGGUUGUAAACCGCUUUAGCUUGUGACGAAGCGGGAGUGACGGUACCGGGUAAAGAAGCACCGGCUAACUACGUG